AGCAGUGUGGCCUAAUGGCUAGAGCACUGGCCUAGGAGUCAGAAACCUGGGUUCUAAUCCCGGCUCCGCUU
rnacentral:tRNA from 1 species